GGGGAGACAACGGGAUGCUGUUCAGGCUGCACAAUCAAAGCAACGGUCUUUGGGGUUAUUCCAGAGGCCACCAAGUCACUCAGCCCUGCCCUCGAGUCCAAUGCUCUCAGCGACCAGAAUACCAGGGAGGCCAGGGGAACAAGAAGAGUCUGUGGGAAUUGGAGGAGGUGGGCUCUGGAGGUCCUACCCAUCCUGCCCUUCACUGCCACCAUUACACUGAUUCUCCAUUUCUUCUUUAUAUGGCUGAACUUGUUCUACUGGAGUAAGUUCUCGGGCCCGAACGGCGUUGCCAUGGAGAUCCUGCGCGUGUGCAUCGGCGUCUCCCUUUUCACCAACAAGCUGUACAGCCGCAACGAGGACCAAUACUACUGGAGAGAGAUGACAACACACUCAACCUGCCAGGUUUACUCUGAUGACUAUGAUUCAGAAGACAAGGCAGAUAAAAUCAAGAACCCCAACUCCCUGCAGAACUCUCUACAGAGUGGUAAAUUCUUUAAACAUCAAUAUACAGCCAUGUCCUUUAUCAGACACUUCACCCAAAGACACUUCCAGUUAACAUAAUGUGCUAGUAACAUAUAUGGUAUAACAUAACAUAGUGACCUAUACAUGUGAGAACCCACAACCUUGGUGGUGAACCCACAACCGAUCUUUCCCUCUCCAUGAUGGUGAAGGCUGAUUCAUCACUCCAGAGAACGCGUUUCCACUGCUCCAGAGUCCAGUGGUGGUGAGCUUUACACCACUCUAGCCGACGCUUGGCAUUGCACAUGAUGAUCUUAGGCUUGUGUGCGGCUGCUCGGCCAUGGAAACUCAUGGAGUUUGCAACGAAUAGUUACUGUGUUGACGUUGCUUCCAGAGGCAGUGAGUGUUGCAACCGAGGACAGACGCGUUUCAGCACUCAGCGGUCCCGCUCUGUGAGCUUGUGAUGCCUACCACUUCGCAGCUGAGCUGUUGUUGCGCCUAGACAUUUCCAUAUUACAAUAACAGCCCUUAAAAAGUUGACCAGGGCAGCUUUAGCAGGACAGAAAUUUGACGAACUUACUUGUUGGAAAGUUGGCAGACUCCCGUUCCACCGCUAACUAGCUAGCCAUUUCACAUCGGUUACAAAGGCACACAUGUUAAUUGAAAUGCAUUCCAGGUGACUACCUCAUGAAGCUGGUUGAGGGAAUGCCAAGAGUGUGCAAAGCUGUCAUCAAGGCAAAGGGUGGCUAUUUGAAGAAUCUCAAAUAUAAAAUACAUUUUGAUUUGUUGAACACUUUUUUGGUUACUACAUGAUUCCAUAUGUGUUAUUAUAUAGUUUUGAUGUUUUAUUCUACAAUGUAGAAAAUAGUACAAAUAAAGAAAAACCAUUGAAUGAGUAGGUGUUUUAAAACUUUUGACCGGUAGUGUAUGCAGUUGUAUAGUACAUGUCUCUGUAUAGUACAUGUCUCUGUAUAGUACAUGUCUUUGUAUAGUAUAUCUCUGUAUAGUAUAUGUCUUUGUAUAGUAUAUCUUUGUAUGGUAUACUUACACAAAUAUUUUUCUGUAGUACACGUGUCAAACUCAUUCCACGGAGGGUCCUUUAUCAGCAGGUUUUCGCUCCACCCUUGUACUUGAUUGAUGAAUUAAGGUCACUAAUUAGUAAGGAACUCCCCAGAUCUGAUUGUCUUGUUCGUAACUGGAAGGAAAAAACGAAACCCGCAAACACUCUGCCCUCCGUGGGAGGAGUUUGACACCCCUGAUUUACUACGUUGUGAAGCUCAAACCAUCAUAUGUCAUUCAAUGAGUCUCUCUCUAGGUGGCACUAUUGUCUAUAUAUUGUCUAUACACAUGGGCCAGUUUUUCAAGUUAUUUAUCUGGAUUUUGCCUAUCGGACUGGAUUAAAUAGAACUUGAGUCCCCCAUUCAAGCCAAUGAUUUGUCCGUUCCAAUCAUUAUAUUUCCAAGAGAGAUAUUAGAGAGAGAACUUUUGGGUCCUGAAAAUUAGACAUGAUAUAUAUAAUAUUUAUAAAGGUCAAAUGGAGGGUGAAUGUACUGUACUUCACUAAUACUUGUAUUGUAAUGGACUGCAGUCACUGCAUUCCUUUGUUUACAGUAGUGGAAUCUGCUGA
ensembl:lncRNA